UACGUAGGGUGCAAGCGUUGUCCGGAAUUAUUGGGCGUAAAGAGCUCGUAGGUGGCGGGUCACGUCGGGUGUGAAAACCCGGGGCUCAACCCCGGGCCUGCAGUCGAUACGGGCAGACUAGAGUGUGGUAGGGGAGACUGGAAUUCCUGGUGUAGCGGUGAAAUGCGCAGAUAUCAGGAGGAACACCGGUGGCGAAGGCGGGUCUCUGGGCCAUAACUGACGCUGAGGAGCGAAAGCGUGGGGAGCGAACAGG
rnacentral:rRNA from 1 species